rnacentral:tRNA from 4 species
GGGUCGCUAGCUCAGUUGGUAGAGCAACGGACUUUUAAUCCGCAGGUCCCGGGUUCGAGCCCCGGGCGACCCA